rfam:Myotis davidii contig230022, whole genome shotgun sequence.
GGAUAGUCUCAGGUGACACACCUCAGAAUCGGGCUCCCUCCUCUCUGUUCCAUGUGUGUCACCUGAGAACCACA